rnacentral:rRNA from 1 species
CCCUUGACUCUGGGAUAAGCCUGGGAAACUGGGUCUAAUACCGGAUAUGACUGCUCCGCGCAUGCGGUGGUGGUGGAAAGCUUUUGCGGUUUUGGAUGGACUCGCGGCCUAUCAGCUUGUUGGUGGGGUAAUGGCCUACCAAGGCGACGACGGGUAGCCGGCCUGAGAGGGUGACCGGCCACACUGGGACUGAGACACGGCCCAGACUCCUACGGGAGGCAGCAGUGGGGAAUAUUGCACAAUGGGCGAAAGCCUGAUGCAGCGACGCCGCGUGAGGGAUGACGGCCUUCGGGUUGUAAACCUCUUUCAGUAGGGAAGAAGCUUUCGGGUGACGGUACCUGCAGAAGAAGCGCCGGCUAACUACGUGCCAGCAGCCGCGGUAAUACGUAGGGCGCAAGCGUUAUCCGGAAUUAUUGGGCGUAAAGAGCUCGUAGGCGGUUUGUCGCGUCUGCUGUGAAAGACCGGGGCUCAACUCCGGUUCUGCAGUGGGUACGGGCAGACUAGAGUGAUGUAGGGGAGACUGGAAUUCCUGGUGUAGCGGUGAAAUGCGCAGAUAUCAGGAGGAACACCGAUGGCGAAGGCAGGUCUCUGGGCAUUAACUGACGCUGAGGAGCGAAAGCAUGGGGAGCGAACAGGAUUAGAUACCCUGGUAGUCCAUGCCGUAAACGUUGGGCACUAGGUGUGGGGGACAUUCCACGUUUUCCGCGCCGUAGCUAACGCAUUAAGUGCCCCGCCUGGGGAGUACGGCCGCAAGGCUAAAACUCAAAGGAAUUGACGGGGGCCCGCACAAGCGGCGGAGCAUGCGGAUUAAUUCGAUGCAACGCGAAGAACCUUACCAAGGCUUG